rnacentral:piRNA from 1 species
UCUCAGAGUCUUUUAGGGUCACCAAAGC